UUUUGAUAGAAAUAGGCUGUGUGUGUGUGAGAGCUGGGAAGGGAGAGAGAAAGAGUCCAAGGAUCUGAAGCAGACUCUGUGGUGACAGCAGACAGCCCAAUGCAAGAUUCAAACUCACAAACCAUAAGAUCAUGAUCUGAGCUGAAGUUGGCCGCUUAACCAACUGAGACACCCAGGUGCCCCCAAGUCUCAAUUUCUAAAGGCAUCUCCUUAUAAGUUUUCCAGCCCUUUCUUCAGAUAUUCGCCCCCAUAUUUCUGUAUAAUAAUCUUCUACAACUGUGUUUUAUCAAUUUUAGAUAUUAUCUAUUGACUUCUUGUUAUGGUAAGAAUUUAAAUUUCUAAAGUCUACCUUCCUUGUCUCUAAUAAUGUUAAAUCAUUAAUCAGUGCAUACAGUUAGUGGUUCUGUAAAUACUGCUUAUUGCUGAGCCAGGUAGAAUGCUCUGAUUGUUCCUUUUCUUGUAAAAUACUUGGUCUUCUUGAAACUGUUUCAUUGGUUCCCAUUCAGUAUAUGUAUUGUGAGUUUUUUAAAUUUUCCAAUGAAUAUAUAAAGCAGAGUUCAAUAUUAUUUUCAAAGUAACAGGUAACUAAUUAGUUCCAUGUUUUCCCCCUUGAAUAUCACCUUCUUGUUUCUUGUCAGUAGGAUGACUUUAGAAGUUGGGCCCACAAAACUAGACAAAAAAACAAUGACAGAUACUCAGAGGUCAAUCCAAUGACAUCUUUCUAUCCCUAAGAGUUAUGUGGUCUUACCAGUCAGGAAAAAUUCAAAAUGAAUGAAGGGUUCAUAAAGUUCAGUUUUUAAAGUUAGGGAGAUAUUUAUACUUUGAAGAAGGGCCAAAGAAAUUCAAAAUCCCAUCAAGUCAUAUAGCCAAAUACAUGGAAGUGGUCGACUUAAUUCUUUGAGUAGACAGAAAAAUUAGAUAAUUUGUGUUUCCAUUCUAAGAGUUGCAGCACACUUAAAAUCUUCCUUCUUUAGGUCAUGACUUUCUUAGUAUAGCAGCUAUAAGCAGUGCUCCUUAAGUCCCAUCAAAGUUGAAGGCAAGAAUCCCAUCCUUGCCUAGUCCAAGGUCUUCUCAGAACAGAAGGAAACUGAACAAGCUGAGAAGAUGGCCAUAAAAAUGACAUAGGAUGGUCAUGGCUUACUUAGUAUAGCAGCUAUAAACAGUGCUCGGCUUUUUGUGAUAAGCAACAGUAAGAUGAUAUAUGGGAAAAUGUUUGGUAGACUAUGAAGCAUACCACCAAGGUAAGAUAUUAUUAUUUCCUCAAUACCACAGAACAGGUGAAGAGACACCUCUUAGGUUCCUGGAAGUAGAAGGCCACUUAAGACAUUUCAGCCUUUGCUCUUGUUAGGAUUUAUUUGCUUGAAUGAUACAACUUGACCUUUAGUAAAUAUUUCCACCACGAAAGCAAUUCAAGUGUGGCAGUUUAUAAUAGGCUGGGUGUCUCUUUACAAAGUACAAAGGUAUACCAAUUAGACCUAUGUGAAAUUCCUGGUCUUUAGGGAUGAGCGUAAUAGGGAACAAUCUGUAGGAUUAAAUCCAGGUUUAUUAUAAUUUGGUAGCUUAUGAGUUGUUUUCAGACUUGCUAUGUGGCUACUGGGUUUUCAAAUUCUCUUACCAGUAAACAGUAGGUUUUGAAAGAGCAAUAAUUUAGUAAACUCUAUGUUUGUGUGUGUCUGUAUACAUGAAGGUGCUCAUGCAGGCAAGAAUUAAAUGUUUGGAGAAAAACCGAAUUGUUCAAAAUUGUUGUUGACCUUUUAUUGCAAGCAGAGUUAUCACUCAUGGAAGAUUCAUGAUGCCAAGAAUACAAUCUAGUGCCCAGCAUAGAAUACUCAUUUAAAGACCUGACUGAAAUGUGGCAUAAUACAAGUUUAGAUUUAAGUUUUCCAUUCCAUUUUGGUGGAGGGAGUGGGCAGGAGAGCCUGCUAAAUUAAUAUGUAUCUGUGUGGCAGGUUGUACCUGUGCUUGUCCAAAUGUGCCAGGGCUUUAGGUGCACUGAAGAUAUACAUCGGUCUGUCCAUUUGUACCCACUCUGUCUGACAUUUGAAAUUCCUUUACUGUAGAGUUCUGAGAUAAGAAAUUUGGAUCAAUAAACAGGUGAAUGAGAGAGUAGAAGAGAGGAAAAAAGGAAAGAGAAUUGAUUUUUAAGUCAAAAAGUACUGUAGAAAAUAUUUAUUUUUCCAAUUGUGAGAUAAUUUAUUUUCUAAUAGAUUUGAAUCCCCUCUAAUAUAUUAUUGGCAUUAAUGUGGACCUUUAGGAAAACAACAUAUGGGUGGGGCACUUGGGUGGCUCAGUCAGUUAAGCAUCUUAUUCUUGAUUUUGGCUCAAGUCAUGAUCUCAUGGUUCAUGAGUUGGAGCCCCACAUCAGGCUCCACACUGACAGUGCAGAGCCUGCUUGGGGCUCUCUCUCUCUGUCUUUCUUCCUCUCUCUGCCCCUCCCCCACUUGUACGCAUGCACUCUCUCUCUCUCUCCCUCUCAAAUAAAAUUUAAAAAAAAAAGAAAAAGAAAACUACGUAUGGGACAUUGGUCAAUUCAUUAAGUGAUGAUGGUCAGAAGUCCCUUAAACAUAUAGCAGUUAUGUAAAUGAUCUUUCUGCAUCAGAAUUGCCCAGUGCUAUGCCCCUUAUUAAGUAAAAAAAAUAGGCUUAAGUUUUCAAUUUUCUGAUAAACAAAUGUUUAUGAUUAAUAAAACUGAUGUGAGAAAUUAAUGCCACUCUUCUCCAUAACAUACAUUUUUGGGAUUGCACUAUAUGCCUCACAAAAUGUUUAGAAAUGGUUCUUACUUUCAUGGCAUUUAUAGUGAGGCAAGUCCCUUUGACUAAAAACUAAAAAGCAAAAGCAAACACUUCUGUUCUUUCACGACUACUGUCUUGCUCUAAUCUUUCCUAAACUCAUCCAAAAUACGGCCUGUCCACAUGGAGCAUUGGGCCUUUUAGAAUGGUUGGUAAUACACUGUUCAGUUAAAGCUGAACAGUUGUUAAUGCAGGUCUUUUGUCUGUUAUUACCAAUUACUUGGGGGAAAAAGUUCAAUGAUUAAUUAAAUCUGGGAAUAAGCCCAGGUUAAACAAAGUUAAAUGUGCUUCAUUAAUGCAAGGGUCCUUCAUAGCCUUUAAAAAUGAUAACAAGUCUGUGAUUCUUCCAAUGGGGAACUUAAUAGACAGUGUUCCCCAAAUGCAUUUGACCUUGAAAUUCUUUUCUCAUGGAUGUAUCUCUUGUGAGAGAAAGAUCAUUUAGAAAUUGACAUUAGUAUGGAUAUUAGGAAAGCCUUUUAAAUGGUCUGGUUCCAGAUUAUAAUCGGACAGAGUUCUAGCACUAGCUCAGCUACUUAUUAACUAUGUCCCUGGACAUGUCACAAAAACCUUUCUAAGUCUUAACUUCCUCAUCUGUAAAUGAGAGUACAAAUACUUACUUCAAAUUGUAAUUAUAAGAAUAAAAACAAAACAAAACAAAAAAAGCUAUGUGAAAGUGCCCUGCAAACUGCAAGGCAUUUUAAAGAUAGUAAACAUUAUGAAAAUAAUGGGCAUAGCAUUAAAUGUUGGUCUCACUAAGAAUGUUUGACCAACUCAUUUUUUUAAUGUGCUAUGACAUUAGAUUAAUGAUAUGCAAUUAUCAGAUUUUCUGAUUCAGCAAAGGAGAGCUGUUCUCCUCCAAACCAUUCAGGUAGUGAAGUAUUAACUUUAGGAGAAAUAACUAUAAAGUAAUGAGGCAAACAUUUCCAUGUGGAUCAUUAUUUUAUAACAAUAUCAUGUGAACUCUUGCAUAGUGUUUAUUGAACUAGAGAUGAUAGAUGUUGAAGAGUAAGCUUCAUUAUGGUUGGUGAAAUACCAGACUGUAACUUUCCUCACUUGGAUUGGUGGUAAAAUACUCAGAAAUGAGGAAAAGAAAAUUAUAUGAGUAAAUAACAAAAUGAUUUUGAGUUUCUCCCUAGUAUCAACUAUAUGGCUGGUGGAGAUAAUAUUGAACCCAUAAAAUUACAACAUCAGGUUGGAGAAGUGUGAGAAGGCAGAGGGUCUAAAACAUCUAGUAUUACUGAAAUAGAGUGAAUUGGUUCUCCUCUAUAGAAAAACAUGACAAUGUAAUAAAAGACUGAGGUUUGGAGCUAGACAGCCUGGGAUCAAGUCCUGGUCCUGCCAGUGUAUAAGUCAUCUAUAAAAUGGGUAUACAAAUAGUACCUAUUUUACAGGGUCGUUGUGAAAAUUAAAUGACUUAAUGGAUAUAAAGUUUCAAAAAAGCCAUUAUCCUAAAGGUGUUUAAUAAAGGCAAUUCAUAUAUUCAACACCAGAUGGCAGUGUAGCCAUCCAAGGUCAGGUUGUCUGAUAGGCGAUGAGCCAGCAUGAAUCUCUGAAAUACAGGGUAAUCAAAUUCUAGAAGAUUUCUAUGAAAAUAAGAUGAAUUUAAAGGCUCUAUGCAAAUAGUUCUAUAUAAAGUCACAGAAUAUAUAUAAAAGAAGAGCUUUUAAAAAAAAGAAAAGCUUAAAUAAAAUAUACCUGAUUACCAUUAGUUGCUUUCUGUCACCAAUUAUUCAAACCAUGGCUCCAUGGUUUACUAGGUGACUAAGUUUGGACAGGUUACUUACCCUUUCUAAGCCUCAAUUGUCUUAUCUGUAAAAUAAUACAUAAAUUUAACAAAACUUUGUUGAGCCACUGUAUGUCAGGCUCAAAAUGUUCUAGGAGCUGGGGAUAUAGUACUUUUUAAAAGGAUAGAAAUCCUUGGCUGUGUGGUGCUUAUACUGUACUCCAGUAACUAGUCUCUAAUUAAUAAUCAGAGAACAUCUAUCACUUGAAAUCAGACACUGGUUGUAUACCAGGAUGUUAGAUUGAGACCCCCUACCUCAGUUUACACUGAAUCCCCAAAGGCUGAGAACUAAAUCAUAGGUUCAACAUAUCUCCACAUUUUGUAGCAAGGUAUUCAAUAGGCCACUGAUGCAGUACCUGAGAAAAGAGUUAUCAACCACUGCAAACUUCAGCUCAAUACAUACCCCCAAGCAUAUGAGAGAGCUUGGAUGGGUCAAAAGAAAGAAUUGUUUUUAAAGAGAAUUUAGAGACACCUGGGUGGCUCAGCUGGUUGGGCAUCCGACUUUGACUCAGGUCUUGAUCUCAUGGUUUGUGAGUUUGAGACACUGGGAGGACUUGACAUGAGUGUCCUGGAGUUGAAGCACAUGAAGGUCAUGUGAGAGGCUGUGGCUGGUUAGGCCUGAAGUAGCAGAGCCAAGGGAGGAGAGCUGAACUGCUUGCGAAGUACACUUCUAUUGCUGACUGCCAGAAAGCAUGGCUGUUUCUCAUGGACAAGAUGUGAACUCCAAGGAUGUGAAGAAUCCCUAUCUGGAAAGACAAUCUGAUACUCAGUGUUACAGGGUAACCUGAGGCCCAUUGCAAUUUUCAAGAGUUUAUUAGAGCAAGUGUGGAUAGGGAUGGAGCACUGCAUGGACAAGAGGUGGGAGAAAAAGGCUUUUAUAAAGCAAACCUGGAAGUAAAGCAAGGAAACUGAUUGAAUGUAGCUUAUGUGGUUGCCUUAUUUAGGAGCAACCAGUUGGCUGUUUGUGAUUGGUUGUUCUUAAAUUUCGUUUUCUUCAAAGGAGUGCAUUUACAGGAAUUGACUCAUGUUUAAGUUUCUGCUUGUUUACACAGGCUACCAAGACAGUAGAGCCAGCUCAGUCUCAUGGCUUCCUUUUUAAUUCCUUGAACACCACAAAGGAGAUGGGUCACCAAGUAGAUGCCCAGGGCAGGGGGGAGGAACCAUGAUGACCAGUUGGGGCAAGGCGCAGUGAGCCUCACAGUGUGAGGGCCCCAGCAGCAGUGUCUCUGAGGAGCUCUGCCAGAGAGGGACUCAGCCCUAGGGGUCCACCAGCUCAGGAGCCCCAAAGGUGCAAUCUGUGCCAGCCAAGCAGGGCUUUCCUGCCCCGGACUCUACCUCUGCAGUGAGGGUGUGAGGAGUUGCCCACGCUGGGACAGGAAGGGAGGACUAACUUGGAAGAAAGCUUGGAACAUGAGUUAUUACACUGCACUGAGCAUUUUAAUUAUUAAACUGAGAAUAUUCUUAUGCCCAGAUGGGAUUAGAAGGCGUAUGUUCUUGUUAAGAUUCCAAAAAUUCAGGUAUCUGCCUGACAUUUCAACCAGGGACAGGAAUAUGCUUAGCCCUCCACGUAAAGUAAAAGCAGAUUUAACAUAUGUAAAGUGCCUAAAGUAGUAAAUAUUUUCUAUUUUCAUCACGGUUUUUAUUAUCAGCUCAUGUAACUUGUUGCACUCUAAGUUGUACCAUUCUUAAACUGAAAAUCGAGUGAAUGUUGCCAAGGACACUCAAAUGCUGUACUGUAAAGAGUGGACCAAGCAGAAUUCACGUGACUGUUUACUUCCUUCACAAUCCAUCCACACCUAGGGUCUGGCUCUGUUUCCUGGUGCCAUAAAGUGGGGGGGUAAAGUCCCUUACCUGAAUGUCUGAUCCAUAUUUUCCAAUCUUCAGCACAUAGUCCUUCUCAGCUGUCCAGUAAGGCUCUGUGGUCCCAACCAAGGAAACAA